GCCGAUCUGAUCUUUAGGAACUUGAUGGCAUUGGAGUAGCACAACGAAGUUCUUUUAAUAGGAUUCUCACUUCUUCCCAUAAAUGAGCCUAGACCCUUCCUCUAAUGCCAAUCUACUAUGGCAGAAAUCUAUCUUAGGUCGGAUUGGCUAGAGUUGGACGGUGACUGCAGAUCGAUGAUGGCAGGAUGGCUAUGGCAGGACCUACAAGAUAAGUUCCAAACCAAAGUUGACUCUAACAGAAACCCUUUGACACUCAAGUCAGAUCUCUGAAAUAGAUGGAAAGGAGUGAGAACUUUGGGAGAGAAGUUUUUUCAUACCUUUGGGGCCUCCUAUGGGUGUCACGCCUCCGACUCGAGAUUGUGAGCUGGAGGUUAUGGCAAUCGUCGCAUAUUCAUAGGAAACUCUUUCCACAAGCAUGCAAGGUAUCUUAUCA
rnacentral:lncRNA from 1 species